GAACCUUUAGAAACACCAUGGAGGAGGAUUUCUCAUAAAUGGGAUGAUCCCUGGAAACGAGAGGUUAAAGACAAUCUCCUUUUAAAAAUCAAUACAAUUAAACCAGAUGGUGGAAUCAAAUAUUUCAAUAUUUUGCUUCUUGGACAAGCUGCCGCUGGAAAAUCGUCAUUCUUUAAUACAUGCUAUACUGCUUUAAUGGAUGAUAACAGACUGAUGGGAAACAAUCAAGUUUACCAGGGUGCUUCCAUGAGUGUAUCAACAUCGGUUGAAACAAUUCCAAUGAAAACAAAGGACGGAAACAUCCUACCACUACGGCUAUUUGAUUGCAGAGGACUCCAUAUGGUUGACGGAGUACCCACCGAGGACUUAAGAUUGAUUAUCCAAGGUCAUGUGAAAUGUGGAUACAAUAUUAACCCCGUGGCUUCCAUAACCGAAGACAACGAAAAAUAUAGAAGUUGUCCGGAAAAGAAGGACCUCAUGCAUUGUAUUGUGUAUGUAGCAAAUGCAGGUAAUCCUUCUGAAUAGCUGACAGAUGAGGAGACCGAGAAACAAUUAAGACAUGUCAGAGAAACAAUAGCCGUGCAAAAUUUGCCACAACUGGUUCUUUUUACCAAUAUUGACAAGCUCAGGAUUUCAAAUACGAAUGAUUUAAGGGACAUCUUCAGAAGUCAGGCAGUAAAAGAUGCAUGCGCCAAAGCUGCCGAAUUCAUGCAAAUACCAUUAAUGAAUGUUUUACCGAUGUCAAAUUACCAUGAAGAAAAUCUGCCUAUCUUGGAAAAAGAUAUACUAGCGCUCUUCUAUCUACUUACAAUGAUGCAAAGAGCAAAGGAUUACGUGAUCCGCAUUACCAAAGCUGACGCCCCAGAUGAUUUUUUUGAUUAGCUGUAAAAAGAUAACUAUUUGUUCUAUGACACUAGAUUUCUGCAUGGUAGACAUAGCCAUAUAUAAUCUUUUCUAACAGUA